CCCAGAGGGCUCCUCAGAGAGGCGGGGAAGGGCGUUGGGCCCAAAGUUCCUAGGCCGGGGCCGACUUCUGGCGCUCUCCUUGCUCCAGGCACCCGUGGGCCCCCGAAGCCGGAGGUCCCGGACAACGGGCCGGAUACGCGGAGGGGAGACUUGGACUGUAAGUGGGACCACACCCCCGGGGGCCUGGGGCCAGCGUGGGCCUCAGAUGCCCCCCCGGGUGGCCAUUACCCCAGGUUUAGAACAACGGCCCUCCCCCCAAAUCCCCGCCACUCAGGCCCCCGAACUCGUCUAUACACAGCUCGCUGGCAGAGACGCGUGGGCGGGCGAAGGCCUGUGUUUGUCUACAAAUAUUUAUCUCCCUCACUCCCACUCCAACAUACCCUGAGUCCAAGGCACUAACGUAGAAGACGAAAUAAUGUUUGCCUUAAAGGCUACAGGAAGUUCACAUCACCUCUGGCACUUCCUUCACAGAAUAACCUGCACCCGAUUGAUUCCUUACACCGCAUAAUUACGGUGCUAACCCUAAAAAAGGGUUUCUUUGUUCAGUGAAGGUUUAUUGAGAGCCUAACUGUGCCGGCGUGAGGCUCGGCGCCAGAGGAUGAAGGCCUUUAACAUGGAUAUGAGCGGAAAAGGAAUUUAUACUAUUCGUCAUUGGACACAGGAAAACGCCAGACCUCUGGCCUAUCAUGAGACACAUUUGAGGACAAGUAAUAAAAAAAAAAUCUUUCUGGUCCCAGAAAGAUAAAGGAAAUGAAAACAAAAUUCAGCCCACAAACCUGCUGUUUGCAUGUAGCCGAUCGAGGACCGUGGUGACGAUGCUGCCUCCUGGUGGCGGAACGGGGCAACGCAGUUGUCACAGUCAAGUGGAGUUUCACAGGGUGGGAGUGGUGGUGGCAGUGACGGCGUGGAUUCUGAACCGAAAUUGGCUCUGGCUGCCCAGGUGGUCAAUAGUGGAGUUUCGUUCUCUUAAUAUUAGAUUGAAAUUUAUUAUGACCACAGUUCCAUAGCUCUAAAGCGAAAGUCUUCAAGAACAUGGCAUCAGAGUUUCCCUGGGGUGUUUAGGUUUGUCACCACCGAGAAAGGGAUGUCCUGAAGAAAACAAAGUCUUCAGCUUCUUUUCAUAGCUAAUACAUUCUCUGCAGGUGGAACUGUAAACACCAAUAGAAGAAUUAAAAAUAUAGGUGUUAGAAAAAGACGCUUGGCAACGUAAGCAUUUAUGAAAAUGGUAACUCAUUAGUCAAGACUGAUGCCAAAGGAUAGAAGCAUUGAUGAAUUUCAUAAAACAACACAGCAUCAUUUUGACCCAAAAUACAAGGAAAAAUAGCACCUGGAUGUGGGAAAGAGAAAGAACUUCACAAAAGAGGCCAGUGAAGCUGAAGGCGUUUUCACAGGGGCUGCUAAAUAGGAAUGACAUAACGCUGAAACUGCCUGCAACGAUGUCCCUGCUUGGUAAAGUCCAAGCUCAACAAUUUGGGCAUGUGAGACCGUCUACCCUAUGAGAUCAUGAUCUACAUGGAGGCAAGGCCUAUGUCUUGGUGACUGUCAUAGUUCCUGAAAGAUAGGUUUUCCAACAGAAAGGCAGAGCAUGGAGGCCUCACCAUUAAAAGAAGAACCAGGAAUCCUGUGGGCUUCAUGUAAUAAAAAAGCUUGAAGAUUUUUUCUAGAUAUGUCUCCUAUAGCAAGGGAAAUAAAAGCAAAAAUAAACUA